rnacentral:rRNA from 1 species
UACAGAGGUCUCAAGCGUUGUUCGGAUUCAUUGGGCGUAAAGGGUGCGUAGGUGGCGCGCUAAGUCAGGUGUGAAAUUUCGGAGCUUAACUCCGAAACUGCAUUUGAUACUGGCGUGCUUGAGGACUGGAGAGGAGACUGGAAUUCACGGUGUAGCAGUGAAAUGCGUAGAGAUCGUGAGGAAGACCAGUGGCGAAGGCGGGUCUCUGGGCCUUACCUGACGCUGAGGAGCGAAAGCAUGGGGAGCAAACAGG